UGAGGAAUAUUGGUCAAUGGGCGAGAGCCUGAACCAGCCAAGUAGCGUGCAGGAUGACGGCCCUAUGGGUUGUAAACUUCUUUUAUAUGGGAAUAAAGUGAGGGACGUGUCCCUUAUUGCAUGUACCAUAUGAAUAAGGACCGGCUAAUUCCGUGCCAGCAGCCGCGGUAAUACGGAAGGUCCAGGCGUUAUCCGGAUUUAUUGGGUUUAAAGGGAGCGUAGGCUGUUUGUUAAGCGUGUUGUGAAAUGUAAGGGCUCAACUUUUAGGUUGCAGCGCGAACUGGCAUACUGGAGUGCGCACAACGUAGGCGGAGUUAUUGGUGUAGCGGUGAAAUGCUUAGAUAUCAUGACGAACUCCGAUUGCGAAGGCAGCUUACAAGAGCGCAACUGACGCUAAAGCUCGAAGGUACGGGUAUCGAACAGG
rnacentral:rRNA from 1 species